CCUUGGAAAUAAAAGGAAUAUUCUACCAGAGUACUACGAAUUUAAAAAAUUUAAAACUCAAAGAGCUUGGCGGUGCUUUAGACUUUUUAGGGGAACCUGUCUUUUAAUCGACAAUCCACGUUGCACCUAACCUUUUCUUGCACACAAUUUGUAUACCGUCGUCGUCAGGUAACUUUUAAAAACUUUAGUAGUUAGCGAAGAAGUCUUAUAAUAAACUUAAACGUCAGAUCAAGGUGCAAUUAAUGAAAAGGGUAAGAUGGGUUACAAUUAUGUAAUUAUAAUACGAAAAACUGGUUGAAAGACCUGUUUAAAGGAGGACUUAAAAGUAAAUUUUUAGAUAUGAAUACUAAUUGAAUAAAGCUCUGAAGCGUGC
rnacentral:rRNA from 1 species